rnacentral:lncRNA from 1 species
CCAUGGGGUUCUGGGAUGAACUCAGCUGGGCAAACAUGCACACAAGAGCCUUUCCCUUGGGAACCACAUACUUUGUGAGUUUGUAAAUGAUCUCACCCGGGAGGCCACUGUCAAAUGCAAGCGGACUCAAAUUACUGAAUAUACUCCUCUGCAGACUAUGAGUGUAACAUGCACACUGAACAGAAAUGACUUUCAUGCUCACGCUCGGAUCCCAGGACAUCUUGAGUCUAUACAAACACUCCAGUACAUGAAAAAGCCUAAAACCAGGAACACUUGCAGUAUCAAACACUUUGGGUACUAGUUAUUUAUUUUUAUUUUUUGGUUUUUCGAGACAGGGCUUCAAUAGUCCAAGCUGGCCUUAUACCUGCAUCGGCCUCUCCCCUAAAAUUUAAUAAAACUAUCAACUUGCAAAAACACACUGGUCUAGCCAGGUGGCAGUGGUGCAUGCCUUCAGUCUAAGCACUCAUAAGGCAGAGAUAGGAGGAUCUCCAUAAAUUCUAGGCCAGCCUGGUCCAUAUAGUGAGAUCCACAACGGCCAGAACCACACAAAGAAACAUUGUCUUACGAAACAAACAAACAAACAAACAAACAAAAACAUUGAUCUAAGGGUUAUGAUAAUGAAGUGAGAGGUCAAAUUCUCACUUAAAAUUUUGUCCUGGUCUGGGUACAGUGCUGCACCUACAAUCCCAGCACUUAGGAGGCUGAGGCAGCAGUGUCUUGAGCCUGAAGCUGGAGUGAUCCACACAGCAAAGCAGGGAAAGAGACAGUACAAAGAAAGACAUCUGCGGGCUCCACCGGCACAGGCCGGUAACUCCAGAUACUUGGAAGGUGGAUGCAGGAAGAUUGCAAGUUCAAGAACAGGCUGAGAUAUGAAAUGC